AUACGUAGGUGGCAAGCGUUGUCCGGAUUUAUUGGGCGUAAAGCGAGCGCAGGCGGUCUGUCAAGUCGGAUGUGAAAUCCCCGGGCUCAACCUGGGAACUGCAUUCGAAACUGGCAGGCCAGAGUCUUGUGGAGGGGGGUAGAAUUCCAGGUGUAGCGGCGAAAUGCGUAGAGAUCUGGAGGAAUACCGGUGGCGAAGGCGGCCCCCUGGACAAAGACUGACGCUCAGGUGCGAAAGCGUGGGGAGCAAACAGGAUUAGAUACCCUGGUAGUCCACGCUGUAAACGAUGUCGAUUUGGAGGUUGUGCCCUUGAGGCGUGGCUUCCGGAGCUAACGCGUUAAAUCGACCGCCUGGGGAGUACGGCCGCAAGGUUAAA
rnacentral:rRNA from 1 species